rnacentral:rRNA from 1 species
GGUUUCUUGGAAAUUUUUAAGAGAUCUGACCUGCCCACUGAAUAUUUUUGAAGGGCCGCGGUAUUUUGACUGUGCAAAGGUAGCAUAAUCAUUAGUCUUUUAAUUGAAGGCUUGUAUGAAUGGUUGAAUGAGGUGAAUACUGUUUUAUAAUUAUUUAUUGAAUUUAGGUUUUAAGUAAAAAAACUUAAAUGUUAUUAAGGGACGAGAAGACCCUAUAGAGUUUAAUAAAUAUAAUAAUUAAUUAAGUUUUUGAAGGAAUUUUUAAUUAUUAUGAAAUUUAUUUAAUUGGGGUGAUUUAAAGAUAAAUAUAACUCUUUAUAAGUAUUAAUAUUUUAAUUAAUUUUUUGAUCCAUAAAUAAUGAUUAGAAGAUUUAAUUACCUUAGGGAUAACAGCAUAAUUUCUUUUAAGAGUUCAUAUCGAAAAAGAUGAUUAUGACCUCGAUG